rnacentral:rRNA from 1 species
GUAUAUCGUUGUUAAAAAAAUAUUUUUUAAUGAGAUUAAUAUUUAAAAAUUAAAAUAUAAAUUUAAAUCAGAUCAAGAUGCAGAUUAUAAUUAAGAAUAUAAUGGAUUACAAUAAAUUUAUUUAAAUGAAUUUUAAUUUUUAAUAGUUAAUUGAAGGUGGAUUUAAAUGUAAUUUUAUUUAAUUUAAUAAAAUGAUUAAAAAUUAAAAUAUGU